CCACACUUGGAACCGAUCUCCACCGUUGGUACCAAACGAACCAGCACUCGACCGCCGACGUUUCUUGACCCUUCGCCGGAGUUUCCGUGGCCGGAACUCGCCGGAAAACUCCAUUUUCGCCGGAUUUCCAGUUUGAACUUUGAGCUCGAUUUUCUCCUUCAAUUCUCCACCAAAUCGAUCGAGUAAGGUAUGGUUUCUCAGCUAUUUUUCGUGUUCUAGCUAAUGGAUGUAUGGGUUUCGAUCGAUUUUAGCUCUAAAGGGUUCGAUUUUCGACUUGAAAAUUGGCCGAAACUUCGGCCGCCGUAAUCUACUGUUUUCGAUCACUUUUUGGGGUAUGUCUAAGAACAAAAGUGACUCCAAAUGGGGUGUUUUACCUAGGAUAAGACUUUGGAGUCUUGGUUCCGAGAUUUUUCGGCCACUCGGUAUCGCUUUAGACAAUCGAAUCUGCCCGCGCGUGCUGGGGUGCGUGGGCGAGGGUGGUGGAGUAACUCUGGGCAGUUUUGAGAUCCUCGUGUCAUGACGAGCGCGUAGGAUUUCGCGGAUCUCGAUUCGGAGUCCGUUUGAGCCCCGAACGGAUUUUCCAUAUCGCGCAAUCCUUGGGUGCAGUGUCGUCAAAUCGUCGGAUCGCGCUGAAUUUCAGAUAUGUCGGUCUACAUGAUUUCAGGAUCGUGUAGGAUUCAACGGAUUGCGAAUCGCAGUCCUGGAUACUCCGAAAUCGCGAACCCUGGGGCUAGGGUUUGGAUUUUAAGCGAUAACGCGAUUUUGGCUAAUCCGACCGUCCGUUUCGGACCAAACUCGCAGAACAUGGUUCCUUCUCUGUAAGGAACCUUCAGAGGAGCCCAGAUUGGCCAUCGGAGACCGUGGACCCACGGGGUCCGGGAUCGGCCGAUCUGGCAGUAUAUCGCUUAGUAAGGCUUCGGGUCUCUUAAGGUCGUUCUAACUGUCUAAAAAGCUAAUGUGGGCAUAAGAGUAACUUUAAAAUGAGUGCACGUAUUUCCAGGAACCGGGGGCAGGGUGUUUAAUUUGAUUCUUUUUAUUCAGCAGUUUAUUGAUUUAUUAUUCAUGGAUAAUCAGGCACUAGAGGUCCAGUCGACCUGCAGGAAGGACCUUCGAAGGGUCCAAUUAGCUCGGACCAUCAGUGAGUGGACUUUCUUUCAUAACGAUUUUAUAUGCAUGAGUUAUAUCUUAAACGAUUUUAUAUGCAUGAAUUAUAUAAAUGAGAUUAUUUAAUUGAUUUUUUUUAUAAUGAGUUUAUACAAAUAAGCUUUUACAAAUUAGUUUAUAUGGGUUAAUGUCAUUAUUUGAUCUUGAAGAAGUUUUAUGAACUAUUCAUUUCGAACGUGAUCUGUGCUGUACAAUACUUUGAUUUACGUGUUGUUCAGUUAUUGAAGCUCAGUAAUAUAAAAAGCAGAGUUUGAGAAUUCUAUCAGAGGAGACAGCAGUUAAAUUUCAGUUUCACAAAAAGGCAGUGAGUUAUUAGAUUUUUCUAAAAAUAGUUUAUUUUAGAACCACCAUGUACCCACCCUUUACUUGGUGAUUACCCAGAGUUGGACCGAUGUCUACGGACAUCCAGUCCGAUUUCAGUUUAUGUCAGUGCACUUGACUUUGCCUCACGAGUUUCGGGGACGCUCGGACCGUGAGUGCCAGGAUUUGCGGCUCGGCAGACUUGGUGUCCCGAGACCUGCCAGGAUUGCGGCUCGGCUGACUCUGUGUCCCCGAGACCUGCCAGGAUUGCGGAUCAGGCUGACUACGGUCCCUGCAUCCUGCCAGAGCGACGCGAGCUGACUUGGUGUCAUCGAGGAAUCUGCCGGCGGAUCAGGCUGAUCAUAGUCCCCUGAUUUCGCCAGUUUGCGGCUCGGGUAGACUGCGUGGCGCCCGAGACCUGCCAGGGGAAUUGACGGAUAUGACAGGGGUACAAAUAGGUGGUAUUUUCAAAGGAUUUUGAGUUUUCUUUUAUUCGAUUAUGACUUUCAGUUAUUUUAUAUCAGUUUCUUUGAUAUUCAUGCAUUUAUAUCUUUACAUAUUUGUUCAGUUAUACGAGCACAUUCAUCAGUAGGUUUUUACAUGCUUAUUUGAAUACCUUGUAUUGAAAUAUAGACAAACCCUCGAGUUAAAUCCUUGCUUAUUUUUAAAUGGGGGUUACUAUGUUUAUAAAAUUUAUUUUCAAGAACUUAAUUUUUGUCCACUCACAUUUUCAACCUGUUUUUCGCCCCCAGGCCGUAGAAGUGCGCAGGAUCCACCACCGGGCCAUCUCUAGCUUCCGCGCCAUCAAGUAUUGAGUUUUGUGGAAAAGUUCUUGAAACUCUGUGAACUUUAGAAAAUGCUCUGAUAUCUAGUUUUAGUGGAAAACUGGAGUUGGUGAAUACUUGGUUAUUCUAUUCUGGUAGUUGGUGUGGAUUUAUUUGAUUGUUUAACAGGUGAAAAAAAGUUGGGUUUGGUCAAAAUACAGGGGAGACUCUGCCGAAUUUUCGGCAGAAGUCUAAGGGAAAAUUUAAAAAGAAUUUGAAACAAGAAGGGUAAAAAGGUCCUUUGUGCUAGACAUUCGUCAG
rnacentral:lncRNA from 1 species